GGCUUUCCCCGGGGCGGGGCCGUGCGUGCUGGGAGGCGCGGGUUGCUGCUGGCGAUAUGAGAAAAGCUCUUUACAGAGAGAUGGAGAAGGAAUUAGUUAUACCUCUGCCUCAUCCUGUGAGACCAGAAGACAUGGAGUAAAUGGAAAUUGCGAUUCUCAGGAGACGCACUAAGAGUCUUGGGUUCCUUUUCUGCCUUCCCCCUAAGGCCUUGGCGCAUGUUCACACUGCUUCUGUUAUUGAGAAAAUGGUUUGGGAAGAUGUCUGCCGUUUCUCAGGAUUUUCUGCCAUUGCCUGCUGGCAGAAAAAAUCAGUAAUGCGGGUGGAGCCAUGUAGGACUUCCCUGAGGUAAGCCUUCAACGGACAGGGACCCCUAAACUCGUGCACCAAGCAUUCAAGACAAAUGUCUGUGGCACAAAGAUCAAGGACGACUUCUCAGAGGUAAGCAGCUUUCCCUUUGUUUCCCCAUCCUCUCAGGAGCCGUCUUUACUAUCGUUGUACACACUUCAGGCUCACAACACUCGUUUUCUCCUCUAUUUAGUAUUCCUAGUCCCUGCCUGGUGGUGGGUUGAAGUCUACGGGUUGAUGUGUUUCCAAGUGAAAAGAGAUAAGUACAUCUAUUUAAGGUGACAUCUAGUAGGAUCAUUUAAAGUAAAUUAAUCUAUAUAGUAGUAGGUGCCUUUAUUGCAUGCAGCUCUUCUUCAGGUGAGUAAUUGUGGAGGAAUCGUUAAGUGAGGCGGGACAUGUGAAUGUUGAGCA
rnacentral:lncRNA from 1 species